AAAACUGGAUCAUUAUUCCUAACACAAAUUUCUCCUGCUAUUAUAUAUGAUCUUCUUUAAUAUUCAAAAGAAUGAAUAACAGAUGUUUCCAGUAAAGAAUAUUGGAGAAGGAUUACCUCAUGAUGACCAUGUGCUAGAUUCCUGUUUAAAAAUCCCUAUUUCCAGACCAUUUCAUAUGGAAAAACCACAUCAACAAGAAAAUUAGUUUCCUCAGAAGAGAGGGUUAUAUCCAACAGGAGACAACGCCAAAGAACUGCAAAGAUGAUAAGAAGGUAGGGAAACCUCUAUUUUGAAACUCUUGAAAUGUAUGUUGGUCAUCACUAUAUAGAGAAAGUAGUUGUCUGGGACACAUGA
rnacentral:lncRNA from 1 species